AUACAGAGGGGGCAAGCGUUGUUCGGAAUUACUGGGCGUAAAGGGCGCGUAGGCGGCCUGCUAAGUCGGACGAGAAAUCCCCGGGCUCAACCCGGGAACUGCGUCCGAUACUGGUUGGCUUGAAUCCGGGAGAGGGAUGCGGAAUUCCAGGUGUAGCGGUGAAAUGCGUAGAUAUCUGGAGGAACACCGGUGGCGAGGGCGGCAUCCUGGACCGGCAUUGACGCUGAGGCGCGAAAGCCAGGGGAGCAAACGG
rnacentral:rRNA from 1 species